GACGAACGCUGGCGGCGUGCUUAACACAUGCAAGUCGAACGGAAAGGCCCUGCUUUUGUGGGGUUCUCGAUUGGCGAACGGGGGAGUAACACGUGAGUAACCUGCCCUUGACUUUGUGAUAACUUCAGGAGACUGGGGCGAAUACCGGAUAUGAGCUCCUGCUGCAUGGGGGGGGUUGGAAAGUUUCGGCGGUGGUGGCUGGACUAGCUGCUUAUCAGCUUGUUGGUGGGGUAGUGGCUUACCAGGGCUUUGACGGGUAGCCCGCCUGAGAGCGUGAACGGCCACAUUGGGACUGCGAUACGGACCAGAAUCGUACGGGAGGCAGCAGUGGGGAACAUUGCACAAUGGGCGGACGCCUGAUGUAGCAACGCCGCGUGCGGGAUGACGGCCUUCGGGUUGUAAACCGCUGUCGCAUGUGCCGAAGCGUGAGUGACGGUAAUGGGUAAAGAAGCACCGGCUAACUACGUG
rnacentral:rRNA from 1 species